CGUAGGUGGCAAGCGUUGUCCGGAUUUACUGGGCGUAAAGAGCGCGCAGGCGGUCGUUCAAGUCGAGUGUGAAAGCCCCCGGCUCAACUGGGGAGGGUCACUCGAUACUGAUCGACUCGAAGGCAGAAGAGGGAAGCGGAAUUCCCGGUGUAGUGGUGAAAUGCGUAGAUAUCGGGAGGAACACCAGUGGCGAAGGCGGCUUUCUGGUCUGCUCUUGACGCUGAGGCGCGAAAGCUAGGGUAGCAAACGGG
rnacentral:rRNA from 1 species